rnacentral:rRNA from 1 species
GGAUGAACGCUAGCGGCAGGCUUAACACAUGCAAGUCGAGGGGUAACAUUGUAGCUUGCUACAGAUGACGACCGGCGCACGGGUGCGUAACGCGUAUAGAACCUACCUUUUACAGAGGGAUAGCCUUUAGAAAUGAAGAUUAAUACCUUAUAGUAUUGAGACUUGGCAUCAAGUUUUAAUUAAAGAUUUAUCGGUAAAAGAUGGCUAUGCGUCCUAUUAGUUAGUUGGUAAGGUAACGGCUUACCAAGACAUCGAUAGGUAGGGGUCCUGAGAGGGAGAUCCCCCACACUGGUACUGAGACACGGACCAGACUCCUACGGGAGGCAGCAGUGAGGAAUAUUGGACAAUGGAGGCAACUCUGAUCCAGCCAUGCCGCGUGUAGGAAGAAUGCCCUAUGGGUUGUAAACUACUUUUAUACAGGAAGAAACACUGGUAUGUAUACCAGCUUGACGGUACUGUAAGAAUAAGGACCGGCUAACUCCGUGCCAGCAGCCGCGGUAAUACGGAGGGUCCGAGCGUUAUCCGGAAUCAUUGGGUUUAAAGGGUCCGCAGGCGGUCUAUUAAGUCAGAGGUGAAAUCCCAUAGCUCAACUAUGGAACUGCCUUUGAUACUGGUUGACUUGAGUCAUAUGGAAGUGGAUAGAAUGUGUAGUGUAGCGGUGAAAUGCAUAGAUAUUACACAGAAUACCGAUUGCGAAGGCAGUCCACUACGUAUGUACUGACGCUGAGGGACGAAAGCGUGGGGAGCGAACAGGAUUAGAUACCCUGGUAGUCCACGCCGUAAACGAUGGAUACUAGUUGUUGGGAUUUAUCUCAGUGACUAAGCGAAAGUGAUAAGUAUCCCACCUGGGGAGUACGGUCGCAAGACUGAAACUCAAAUGAAUUGACGGGGACCCGCACAAGUAGUGGAGCAUGUGGUUUAAUUCGAAGAUACGCGCAGAACCUUACCAACACUUGACAUGUUCGUCGCGACUCUAAGAGAUUAGAGUUUUCGGUUCGGCCGGACGAAACACAGGUGCUGCAUGGCUGUCGUCAGCUCGUGUCGUGAGAUGUUGGGUUAAGUCCCGCAACGAGCGCAACCCUCACUUUUAGUUGCCAUCAUUAAGUUGGGCACUCUGAAAGAACUGCCAGUGAUAAGCUGGAGGAAGGUGGGGAUGACGUCAAGUCCUCAUGGCCCUUACGUGUUGGGCUACACACGUGCUACAAUGGCAUCUACAACAGGAAGCAAAACGGCAACGUUAAGCAAAUCCCGAAAAGAUGCCUCAGUUCGGAUUGCACUCUGCAACUCGAGUGCAUGAAGCUGGAAUUACUAGUAAUCGUGGAUCAGCGUGCCACGGUGAAUGCGUUCCCGGGUCUUGUACACACCGC